GAUGAACGCUGGCGGCGUGCCUAAUACAUGCGAGUCGAGCGAACAGACGAGGAGCUUGCUCCUCUGACGUUAGCGGCGGACGGGUGAGUAACACGUGGAUAACCUACCUAUAAGACUGGGAUAACUUCGGGAAACCGGAGCUAAUACCGGAUAAUAUAUUGAACCGCAUGGUUCAAUAGUGAAAGACGGUUUUGCUGUCACUUAUAGAUGGAUCCGCGCCGCAUUAGCUAGUUGGUAAGGUAACGGCUUACCAAGGCAACGAUGCGUAGCCGACCUGAGAGGGUGAUCGGCCACACUGGAACUGAGACACGGUCCAGACUCCUACGGGAGGCAGCAGUAGGGAAUCUUCCGCAAUGGGCGAAAGCCUGACGGAGCAACGCCGCGUGAGUGAUGAGGGUCUUCGGAUCGUAAAACUCUGUUAUUAGGGAAGAACAAAUGUGUAAGUAACUAUGCACGUCUUGACGGUACCUAAUCAGAAAGCCACGGCUAACUACGUG
rnacentral:rRNA from 1 species